rnacentral:tRNA from 1 species
AGAAUAGUAUUUAAAAUAUAUAAAAUCUAAUUUCCAUUUAGAAAUUGCAUAAACUUAUUCUA